AUGAACGCUGGCGGCGUGCCUAAUACAUGCAAGUCGAGCGAACAGACGAGGAGCUUGCUCCUCUGACGUUAGCGGCGGACGGGUGAGUAACACGUGGAUAACCUACCUAUAGGACUGGGAUAACUUCGGGAAACCGGAGCUAAUACCGGAUAAUAUAUUGAACCGCAUGGUUCAAUAGUGAAAGACGGUUUUGCUGUCACUUAUAGAUGGAUCCGCGCCGCAUUAGCUAGUUGGUAAGGUAACGGCUUACCAAGGCAACGAUGCGUAGCCGACCUGAGAGGGUGAUCGGCCACACUGGAACUGGGACACGGUCCAGACUCCUACGGGAGGCAGCAGUAGGGAAUCUGCCGCAAUGGGCGAAAGCCUGACGGAGCAACGCCGCGUGAGUGAUGAAGGUCUUCGGAUCGUAAAACUCUGUUAUUAGGGAAGAACAAAUGUGUAAGUAACUAUGCACGUCUUGACGGUACCUAAUCAGAAAGCCACGGCUAACUACGUG
rnacentral:rRNA from 1 species